rnacentral:rRNA from 1 species
AACGAACGCUGGCGGCAUGCCUAACACAUGCAAGUCGAACGAAGGCUUCGGCCUUAGUGGCGCACGGGUGCGUAACGCGUGGGAAUCUGCCCUUGGGUUCGGAAUAACAGUGGGAAACUACUGCUAAUACCGGAUGAUGACGUAAGUCCAAAGAUUUAUCGCCCAAGGAUGAGCCCGCGUAGGAUUAGCUAGUUGGUGAGGUAAAGGCUCACCAAGGCGACGAUCCUUAGCUGGUCUGAGAGGAUGAUCAGCCACACUGGGACUGAGACACGGCCCA